GAGCACCUGCCUUGCAAGCAGGGGGUCAGCAGUUCGAAUCUGCUUAUCUCCA
rnacentral:tRNA from 1 species